rnacentral:rRNA from 1 species
GACGAACGCUGGCGGCGUGCUUAACACAUGCAAGUCGAACGGAAAGGCCCUGCUUUUGUGGGGUGCUCGAGUGGCGAACGGGUGAGUAACACGUGAGUAACCUGCCCUUGACUUUGGGAUAACUUCAGGAAACUGGGGCUAAUACCGGAUAGGAGCUCCUGCUGCAUGGUGGGGGUUGGAAAGUUUCGGCGGUUGGGGAUGGACUCGCGGCUUAUCAGCUUGUUGGUGGGGUAGUGGCUUACCAAGGCUUUGACGGGUAGCCGGCCUGAGAGGGUGACCGGCCACAUGGGGACUGAGAGACGGCCCAGACUCCUACGGGAGGCAGCAGUGGGGAAUAUUGCACAAUGGGUGGAAGCCUGAUGCAGCAACGCCGCGUGCGGGAUGACGGCCUUCGGGUUGUAAACCGCUUUCGCCUGUGACGAAGCGUGAGUGACGGUAAUGGGUAAAGAAGCACCGGCUAACUACGUG